ACGCUCGACACCUACGGGGCAGGCAGUGAGGAAUAUUGGUCAAUGGACGCAAGUCUGAACCAGCCAUGCCGCGUGCAGGAUGACGGCUCUAUGAGUUGUAAACUGCUUUUGUACGAGGGUAAACGCAGAUACGUGUAUCUGUCUGAAAGUAUCGUACGAAUAAGGAUCGGCUAACUCCGCGCCAGCAGCCGCGGUAAUCUGAGCGGGCUGGCAAGGC
rnacentral:rRNA from 1 species